rnacentral:misc_RNA from 1 species
CCAAUAGCGUAUAUUAAAGUUGUUGCAGUUAAAAAGCUCGUAGUUGAAUUUCGGGAUCAGUAGGUCGGUCGUGCCACUGGUAUGAACUGGUCUCACUGGUUCCUCCCUCUUGACGAACUGCAAUGCUAUUAAUUUAGUGUUGUAGGAAAUCAGGACUGUUACUUUGAAAAAAUUAGAGUGUUUAAAGCAGGCUUUGGCUUGAAUACAUUAGCAUGGAAUAAUGAAAUAGGACGUUCGAUCCUAUUUUGUUGGCUUCUAGGAUUGACGUAAUGAUUAAUAGGGACAGUUGGGGGCAUUAGUAAUCAAUUGUCAGAGGUGAAAUUCUUGGAUUUAUUGAAGACUAACUACUGCGAAAGCAUUUGUCAAGGAUGUUUUCAUUAAUCAAGAACGAAAGUUAGGGGAUCGAAGACGAUCAGAUACCGUCGUAGUCUUAACCAUAAACUAUGCCGACUAGGGAUCGGAUGAUGUUAAUUUUUUAAUGACUCAUUCGGCGCCUUACG